GACGAACGCUGGCGGCGUGCUUAACACAUGCAAGUCGAACGGAAAGGCCCUGCUUUUGUGGGGUGCUCGAGUGGCGAACGGGUGAGUAACACGUGAGUAACCUGCCCUUGACUUUGGGAUAACUUCAGGAAACUGGGGCUAAUACCGGAUAGGAGCUCCUGCUGCAUGGUGGGGGUUGGAAAGUUUCGGCGGUUGGGGAUGGACUCGCGGCUUAUCAGCUUGUUGGUGGGGUAGUGGCUUACCAAGGCUUUGACGGGUAGCCGGCCUGAGAGGGUGACCGGCCACAUUGGACUGAGAUACGGCCCAGACUCCUACGGGAGGCAGCAGUGGGGAAUAUUGCACAAUGGGCGGAAGCCUGAUGCAGCAACGCCGCGUGCGGGAUGACGGCCUUCAGGUUGUAAACCGCUUUCGCCUGUGACGAAGCGUGAGUGACGGUAAUGGGUAAAGAAGCACCGGCUAACUACGUG
rnacentral:rRNA from 1 species